AACUAGAUACUGUUCCUAACUGGAGAUCUCUUCUAAAUAUUGCCUCUUUUGCUGUUUCUACAGGAACUUAUAUGAACUACGGUACAAGUAGUGAAAAUGUAAACAGUAGCCAAGACAUUUUUAAGUGAUAGCUUCUAUUAACAAGGUAUGAAUUAAAGACAUAAUUAAGGUUUAGAUGCUCAGAAGAUGUGUCUCCUCCCUGAAAUGACAUGGAUCUGUGUGAGUCCAGAGAAGGGCCAUGAAGAUGAUCAGAGGGCUGGAGCACCUUUCCUAUGAGGAAAGCCUAAAAGAAUUGAUGUUGAUCAGCGCCAAGAAGAGAAGGCUCCUGGGAGACUUUAUUGUGGCCUUUCAGUACCUAAAGGAGCCUUCCAAGUGAGCUGGAGAGCGACUUUUUACAAGUGAUACAAGGGAGAAUGGCUUGAAACUGAAAGAGGAUCAGUUUAGAUUGGAUGUUAAGAAAAAAUUCAUAAUUCUUAAAUUCUUCUUCACUGUGAGGGUGAAGUUCCAAGUCUGGAACAAGUUGCCCGGAGAGGCUGUGGAUGCCUCAUCCCUGGGACUGUUCAAGGUCAGGUUGGAUGAGGGUUUGAGCAACUUGGUCUAGUGGAAGGUGUCCCUGCCUGUGGCAGGGGGAUUUGAACUAGAUGUUUUUAAGGUCCUUGCCAACCUAAACCAUUCUGUGAUUCCAUUAAAUUAUACCUUUCUGUACCAGAUUAUUCAUUAUAUAUUGUAAAUAAUUAUAAAUAAAAGUAAUUAGAUUCAGCAUGAGAGUUCAUUUCUGGGUUUUGUUUUCUGGAGCAAAUUUUAUGCUAAGGAAUGAUCCACAUUUUCUAUUGUAACACCUUAUAACUGCAAUUUUUUUUUUUUUUUUUUUUUGUAAAAUAUAAAUGCCCACAACUGUAUCUGUAGAGAAUGCAUGGAUAGCCAAUAAAAGCCACAACAGACCAAA